CGUGUAGGCGGCCUUUUAAGUCAGACGUGAAAUCCCUGGGCUUAACCCAGGACCUGCGUUUGAAACUGGAGGGCUUGAGGACCGGAGAGGGUAGUGGAAUUCCCAGUGUAGCGGUGAAAUGCGUAGAUAUUGGGAGGAACACCAGUGGCGAAGGCGACUGCCUGGACGGCACCUGACGCUGAGGCGCGAAAGCCAGGGGAGCAAACGGGAUUAGAUACCCCGGUAGUCCUGGCCGUAAACGAUGGGUACUAGGUGUGGGAGGUAUCGACCCCUUCCGUGCCGCAGUUAACACAAUAAGUACCCCGCCUGGGGAGUACGGCCGCAAGGUUGAA
rnacentral:rRNA from 1 species